UACGAAGGGGGCUAGCGUUGUUCGGAAUUACUGGGCGAAAGGGCGCGUAGGCGGCCUGUUAAGUCGAACGUGAAAUCCCUGGGCUCAACCCAGGAACUGCGUCCGAUACUGGCAGGCUUGAAUUCGGGAGAGGGAUGCGGAAUUCCAGGUGUAGCGGUGAAAUGCGCAGAUAUCAGGAGGAACACCGGUGGCGAAGGCGGAUCUCUGGGCCUUACCUGACGCUCAGGCGCGAAAGCUAGGGGAGCGAACUGGA
rnacentral:rRNA from 1 species